AAUAAGCGCACAUGUGGGUUUCAGUGCCCAACUUUGACCAACCGUCUUAUUUGAAAUAUUAUUAUUUUUAUUGUUAUUAUAUAAUAAAAUAUAAAUAGUACUUAUGAAAUUUUUUCAUAAAAUUUUUAAAUAAGAUGAACGGUCAAAACGUUAAACACGGAUAUCUAUGGCUGUAUUUAUU
rfam:Oryza meridionalis cultivar OR44 (W2112) chromosome 10, whole genome shotgun sequence.